rnacentral:rRNA from 1 species
UACGUAGGGGGCAAGCGUUGUCCGGAAUCAUUGGGCGUAAAGAGCGUGUAGGCGGUCCUGUAAGUCCGCUGUGAAAGUCAAGGGCUCAACCCUUGAAUGCCGGUGGAUACUGCAGGACUAGAGUCCGGAAGAGGCGAGUGGAAUUCCUGGUGUAGCGGUGAAAUGCGCAGAUAUCAGGAGGAACACCGAUGGCGAAGGCGGAUCUCUGGGCCGAUACUGACGCUGAGGAGCGAAAGCGUGGGGAGCGAACAGG